GCCGAAAACUGAAAAAUAAAUAUUAAAAAAAAAAGAAAAGAAACUUAAAAAAAAUUGCUAGCACAGUGUCAGCCCCCUAGCAAUUUUUUUAAUAACUUUAUUUUAUUUAUUUUUAUGUGGUGCUGAGGAUCAAACCUCUGAGCCACAAUCCCAACCCUGUGCUAGCAAUUUUUUUUUUGGGGGGGGUAGGGUACCAGAGAUUGAACUCAGAGGCACUCGACACUGAGCCACAUCUCUAGCCCUGUUUUGUAUUUUAUUAGAGACAGGGUCUCACUGAGUUGCUUAGCGCCUUGCCAAAUUGCUGAGGCUGGCUUUGAAUUCACAAUCUCUUGCCUCUACCUCCCAAGCUGCUGGGAUUACAGGCAUGUGCCACUGCCCCUGGCCUAGCAAUUUUUAAUAUAUGUUCUUACUGAAUUUUCUUAACAAUUUUUAUGGUAGAUAUCUCCAAUUUUUAGACUCCCUCCACAUCCCCCCUCCCCCCCCCCCAAAAUCACUCUGCAGUAUCUAUAGAGGCCUGCCUGGUACUAUUGUAAAUUAGUGAAAUAUAUCACGCUUACACAUAGGGGGAUCUGAGUAAUUUUUGAAAGGGAGGGACAAUUAUGAUAAAUUCCAGUCAGUUUUUGUUACACAGGAUUAUGGAUUUGGUAUUACCCUCUCAGAAACUGGAAAUGUUGUCUGAUAUGUAUGUAGGCCUGAUUUUCAGAAUAUUGUGUGGGCCAAACAAGAUACUUCUACAGACCAAGAUUGAGCUGGGGAGCAUCAAUUUGAAGCCUCUCUCCUAAACUCAGAAGACCAAGCUUAAUUUCUUGUGUUUAUCAACUUUAAAUUAAACACUUUGAAUAUGAAAGUUAAAAAAAUGUGUUUUUUUCAUUCAGAAAAAGCUGCUGUAGAGUACCCACUUUAUUUUAUUUUUUUUAUUUUUUGAAAAUUGAG
rnacentral:lncRNA from 1 species